UUAGGUUUAGAAAAAACAUCAUGAUUGGGCUUAAAUAAGUACGUAAAACAAGUAAAAUACGUAUGUAAGCAGCAUAACAUAAGUACCGAAAACAUGUCACAAACGUCACUAUUAAACAUACCUUCAAAAUAAUUAAA